rnacentral:rRNA from 1 species
GGCCAGACUCCUACGGGAGGCAGCAGUGGGGAGUAUUGCACAAUGGGGGAAACCCUGAUGCAGCGACGCCGCGUGAGCGAUGAAGUAUUUCGGUAUGUAAAGCUCUAUCAGCAGGGAAGAAAAUGACGGUACCUGACUAAGAAGCCCUGGCUAACUACGUGCCAGCAGCCGCGGUAAUACGUAGGGGGCAAGCGUUGUCCGGAUUUACUGGGUGUAAAGGGAGCGUAGACGGUCCUGCAAGCCAGAUGUGAAAGCCCGGGGCUCAACCCCGGGACUGCAUUUGGAACUGUAAGGCUAGAGUGUCGGAGAGGCAGGCGGAAUUCCUAGUGUAGCGGUGAAAUGCGUAGAUAUUAGGAGGAACAUCAGUGGCGAAGGCGGCCUGCUGGACGAUGACUGACGUUGAGGCUCGAAAGCGUGGGGAGCAAACAGGAUUAGAUACCCCCGUA